UUCUAGACCUCUUAAGAGAUGGAAGAAAGGAGUAUAUGGAAUAUCUUAUCUUAGGAACAGAGGAUCAAUUUUGUGGAUUCAAGAAUGUAUGAAGGAGAAGCAUUUUAAAUACUCUAGACUGAAAAGGUGAAGAAACUGAUCCAUAGAGAGAAACAACUCAUUUCCCAUAA
rnacentral:lncRNA from 1 species